rnacentral:rRNA from 1 species
GAUGGACAUUGCAAAGAGUGGCGAACGGGUGAGUAACACGUGGGAAACCUACCUCUUAGCAGGGGAUAACAUUUGGAAACAGAUGCUAAUACCGUAUAACAAUGACAACCGCAUGGUUGUUAUUUAAAAGAUGGUUCUGCUAUCACUAAGAGAUGGUCCCGCGGUGCAUUAGCUAGUUGGUAAGGUAAUGGCUUACCAAGGCGAUGAUGCAUAGCCGAGUUGAGAGACUGAUCGGCCACAAUGGGACUGAGACACGGCCCAUACUCCUACGGGAGGCAGCAGUAGGGAAUCUUCCACAAUGGGCGAAAGCCUGAUGGAGCAACGCCGCGUGUGUGAUGAAGGGUUUCGGCUCGUAAAACACUGUUGUAAGAGAAGAAUGACAUUGAGAGUAACUGUUCAAUGUGUGACGGUAUCUUACCAGAAAGGAACGGCUAAAUACGUGCCAGCAGCCGCGGUAAUACGUAUGUUCCAAGCGUUAUCCGGAUUUAUUGGGCGUAAAGCGAGCGCAGACGGUUAUUUAAGUCUGAAGUGAAAGCCCUCAGCUCAACUGAGGAAUUGCUUUGGAAACUGGAUGACUUGAGUGCAGUAGAGGAAAGUGGAACUCCAUGUGUAGCGGUGAAAUGCGUAGAUAUAUG